AUUGUUAUUUUAAUUUAAGAAUCUUAUAUACUUUAAAUGUUGAAUUCAUUGUAUUAAUAAAAGACAUGUAUUAGUUUACACUCCAAAGUUAAUUGUCAGACUCUUUCUAAAUUGAUCUAGCUAUUAAUUCGUAGAGCUCAACUAACAUUGAUUGAUCAGUGCAUUCUCUCUCUAAUGUUGAAGAAAAAAGUAAAUAAUGAUUAAUGAGUAGAAACCAAAAAAAAAAUUCCAAUCAAAGGGCUUUCUAUUAAAAUGCAGAAAAAGGGAAAAUAGUCAAUGCCUAAGGGCCAGUGUUUAAAUUCGGCCCAAUUAAAAGAAUAAACACAGCAGCCCAAAGAUUUUUGCUUUUUGCUAGUACAGAGAAACUCAAUCACUACAGAGUUCUGGUGAACCAAAUUGGGGGAGAGAGAAAUCAAAGUUUCGAAGAAACCUGUGAUGAAGAUGGGUAGUCUCAACGAUUUCAUGUGCCAUGAGAGAGGAGUAAAUAGCUGAAAUUGUUAGAUUAAAUUUGACGGAGCCGUAGAAGGCCAUAGUUGGAGAAUCUAAGCAGAGAGAAGGAGAGAUCGAUGUCAGCAUUAAUGGAUUAUCAGCAAAAUCCGCCGCUGUCUUCUGAAACUUCGCCAUGCCAACUGACUGUCCGCCGGAAAUUGCAUCACCGGAGACGCCAACCAACAAUCAGACUCAUGACAUAAUGGCUUGCGUGAUGGCUUUGGAAGCUGCUAUGUUGCCAUGUUUGCCCGCUAGAGAGCUUCAAGACUUCAACCGCUCCUCAUCCUUCUCAUCAAAUUGUGUUGGUAUACUGGCGUCAGGAGUGAAGCACCUUCACCUGCAAAUGCACAGACCAAGCGGUUUUGUAUGGCCUGAUGUCCAUCUAUGUAGUAAAGGAUGCAGCCAUUGUUAUUGGUAAUGUUUUCUGAGCUUAAGAGAGAAAUAGAAAUGGAAUUGGUGUUUUGUUCGUGCAGUGGUAGUAGAAAUGAGCAUGUAUUUAUAGAUUAGUAGGGUUUUGUGUUAGAGAAUAUACAAAAUCUAGAUUAGCAAGGCGUUGAUAUAUUCAAAAAUCUUUAAAUCGUCACAAAUCUAGAAUAUGCUACAUAUAUUCUUAACCAUUUUAGGAUAAUAUCUUUAAAAA